UGGAAUACAACUGCAUUUCUUUCAUAAAUUGUCCAAAAAUAAGUGGGGGAAAAAAAAAGAAUUUUUCCAUCAUGAGCAAAAGAAGGGCUUAGCAUAUGGCUUGAGUUUUCCCACUGAUUUCAGCUGCAGUGCACUGAGCCUUUAUUAUAUCCAGAGCUGAAAGCUCACCCCUUGUUCAUCUUUUUGUCUCUUGUGUUGGUGCAGGACAGUGCGCUGUGAAGUGAAGACAUAGAUGGGGACCCAGGUGUUUCUUCCGACUAAAAGCCUCUCUGCUGGAACUUCCUGACUCAUUUCCCUGAUUACAAGACAGCAGGUGUCAAAUACAUCAGAAAAAGAACAAAGGACAUUAUCUAUCCAUACUUAAUUAAAGGCAGAAAUGCACUCAAGCCUGGCUGUCUGAACCAGAAGGUCAUUAAGCAUGGUCAAGGAGUGCUUUGCAGCAAGAUUCUGAAAAAUGGAAAUCUUGAAGCCUUCCAAGAGUUGUUAACACUAAACAGUUCAGAGUUGAGACAGAGUUUUGGGAAGAUUUUCUGAUUCCUGCCUGACAUGGGUUCUCUACGAGCAAACAUUCAGCAAGAACAAAGAGCAAUUUUGCAUGUUGCUGAACAUGCAAAAAAUGACAGUUGUGACAUACGGUUACCUAAGGAGCCCACUCUUCUCUCCUAUGUCUCUACAGUUCUGGAUUGAUGGAUCUGUCCC
rnacentral:lncRNA from 1 species